GUGCUUGCUUUGGAAGCACAUAUACUAAAAUUGUGACGAUACAGAGAAGAUUAGCAUGGCCCCUGCUCAGGGAUGAUGUACAAAUUCAGGAAGCAUUCCAUAUUUAA